rnacentral:lncRNA from 1 species
AAGAAUGGAGCAAAGUUGAACCGCAACUACAGUUGGACGGUGAAACCACCGCUGGGCGAUGUGACCUUCAUUGCAUACACUACCACGUGCUUAAGGGGCACCGCCAAGGGGUGAGAUGAGAAUCACACCUACUGCCGGGCGGUGCAGACCCACCGCUGGGCGGUGGACUCGUCAGAGGAAUGUAAAGAGACCGCUCAAGCUGCAACGCUAAGGGGUGGAGUUGGUACCAUGCCUACCACCGGGCAGCCACCACUGGGCGGUGUACUUAUGGGCCUGGGCC